rnacentral:rRNA from 1 species
AUUGAACGCUGGCGGCAGGCCUAACACAUGCAAGUCGAACGAGUGGCGGAGGGGUGUGUUAUGUCUGGGAAAGCGCCUGAUGGAGGGGUAUCUCCUCUGGAAACGGUAGCUAACACCGUAGUCUAGCGGAAGCCCCUAUAGGGGAGUAGCUUGGAGGUGGGGUAAAGGCACACCUAGGCGACGACCCCUCGCUGGUCUGAGAGGAUGACCAGCCACACUGGGACUGAGACACGGUCCAGAAUCCUACGGGAGGCAGCAGUGGGGAAUAUUGCACAAUGGGCGCAAGCCUGAUGCAGCCAUGCCGCGUGUAUGAAGAAGGCCUUCGGGUUGUAAAGUACGUUCAGUCGGGAGGCGUUACCCGCAGAAGAAGCACCGGCUAACUCCGUGCCAGCAGCCGCGGUAAUAC